AGGACGAACGCUGGCGGCGUGCUUAACACAUGCAAGUCGAGCGACGCAUCACUUCGGUGGUGACGGAGCGGCGAACGGGUGAGUAACACGUGGGCAACCUGCCCUCAGCUCUGGGACAACUCCGGGAAACCGGGGCUAAUACCGGAUACGACCUUUCACCUCAUGGUGUUUGGUGGAAAGUUUUUCGGCUGGGGAUGGGCCCGCGGCCUAUCAGCUUGUUGGGGGGGUAAUGGCCUACCAAGGCGACGACGGGUAGCCGGCCUGAGAGGGCGACCGGCCACACUGGGACUGAGACACGGCCCAGACUCCUACGGGAGGCAGCAGUGGGGAAUAUUGCGCAAUGGCAAAGCCUGACGCAGCGACGCCGCGUGAGGGAUGAAGGCCUUGGGUGUAAACCUCUUUCAGCAGGGACGAAGCGCAAGUGACGUACCUGCAGAAGAAGCACCGGCAACUACGAGCUAGCAGCCGC
rnacentral:rRNA from 1 species